rnacentral:rRNA from 1 species
UACGUAGGUGGCAAGCGUUGUCCGGAUUUACUGGGUGUAAAGGGCGUGCAGCCGGAGAGACAAGUCAGAUGUGAGAUCCACGGGCUCAACUCGUGAACUGCAUUUGAAACUGUUUCCCUUGAGUGUCGGAGAGGUAAUCGGAAUUCCUUGUGUAGCGGUGAAAUGCGUAGAUAUAAGGAAGAACACCAGUGGCGAAGGCGGAUUACUGGACGAUAACUGACGGUGAGGCGCGAAAGCGUGGGGAGCAAACAGG